UACAGGGGGUGCAAACGUUGCUCGGAAUCAUUGGGCGUAAAGCGCACGUAGGCGGUUCGUUAUGUCGGAUGUGAAAGCCCUUGGCUUAACCGAGGAAGUGCAUCCGAAACUGGCGAGCUAGAGUACUAAAGAGGAUCGCGGAAUUCCCGGUGUAGAGGUGAAAUUCGUAGAUAUCAGGAGGAACACCGGUGGCGAAGGCGGGUCUCUGGGCCGAAACUGGACGCU
rnacentral:rRNA from 1 species